rnacentral:rRNA from 1 species
GACGAACGCUGGCGGCGUGCUUAACACAUGCAAGUCGAACGGAAAGGCCCUGCUUUUGUGGGGUGCUCGAGUGGCGAACGGGUGAGUAACACGUGAGUAACCUGCCCUUGACUUUGGGAUAACUUCAGGAAACUGGGGCUAAUACCGGAUAGGAGCUCCUGCUGCAUGGUGGGGGUUGGAAAGUUUCGGCGGUUGGGGAUGGACUCGCGGCUUAUCAGCUUGUUGGUGGGGUAGUGGCUUACCAAGGCUUUGACGGGUAGCCGGCCUGAGAGGGUGACCGGCCACAGGGGUAGGUGGCGGCGGACGAGACGGCUAGGGGAGGGAGGGGAGGGGAGUAUGGCACGGUGGGGGGGAGCGGGAGGCGGCGCCGGCGGGUGCGGGAUGGCGGCGUGCGGGCUGUACGCCGCUUCAGGGUUGGAGGGGGCGUGAGGGAUGGUAAGGAGUAAGGAAGCACCGGCAAGCUACGUGCAAGCGGCCGCGGUAAUACUCGGAGGAGCACGCGUCUGAAC